AGUAACCCAGAGGGCGUGAUCAGGUGCCAUGGGUGCAGAAGGGGAACUGAAGUCCUGAUGUCUCUGCUGUAGCUGCCCCAUGGUCUCUCCAGCUGAGGUGACGCGCCCUCCCCCAUCGACAUCAGCCCCCCAGCCAGAGCUCAGCGAUAUCUGAGAAGCACUGACCCAGCAGCCCACAAUUCCUCCAGUCUUUGUGAAGGGCAUGUGGGCAGCGUCUUCCACCCUCUGCUCCCCAGGACAAGUGUUGGCCACCACAGGAGGCAGCUGGGGCCAGCAUUAAGGAGCUCUGAUGGGAGAGACCUGACCUCUACCCCAAGUAGUGGAGUUGGACUGACCCUAGCCACAGAAAUGCUGGCCAGCUGGACCACGAGCCUCACCCCUGUCCUCCCCGCAUCUCUUCUACACACAGCCCAAAACCCUGGGUGUGUACACAAGCCGGACAUGGUACACAACUUUACUAAAGGCACUCGGAAACCUGAGGCAGGAGGAUUGCUGAAAGUUCUAGGCCAGUUUUGGGUUUACAGAAUGAGUCUGAAAAAGCAAACCAGCGAAAAACUCUGAACCAGCGACAGUGGCACCGUGUGGUGCUCUGAGCCUAAGUUCUGGAGAUUUCAGAACCAGAUUCCCCGGGGCUGGGGCCUGGAACCUGUUUUAAGAAACUCCUGGGGGUUGGGGAUUUGGCUCAGUGGUAGAGCGCUUGCCUAGCAAGUGCAAGACCCUGGGUUGGUCCCCAGCUCCGAAAAAAAGAA